rnacentral:rRNA from 1 species
AUUGAACGCUGGCGGCAGGCCUAACACAUGCAAGUCGAACGAGUGGCGGACGGGUGAGUAAUGUCUGGGAAACUGCCCGAUGGCGGGGGAUAACUACUGGAAACGGUAGCUAAUACCGCAUACCAUCGGAUGUGCCCAGAUGGGAUUAGCUAGUAGGUGGGGUAAAGGCUCACCAAGGCGACGAUCGGUAGCUGGUCUGAGAGGACGACCAGCCACACUGGGACUGAGACACGGCCCAGACUCCGACGGGAGGCAGCAGUGGGGAAUUUUGGACAAUGGGGGCAACCCUGAUCCAGCCAUGCCGCGUGCAGGAUGAAGGUCUUCGGAUUGUAAACUGCUUUUGGCAGGGAAGCGGUACCUGAAGAAUAAGCACCGGCUAACUACGUGCCAGCAGCCGCGGUAAUUC